rnacentral:misc_RNA from 1 species
CGCUGCAUUAUGCAAUUUGAAACUCUGAUUCUUUUUCAAUUUUAAGAUGCAAUUUAAGAACCCGUAGACACCUUAAAGUUCAUCAUGGUAAUCGUCAUCGUAGUGGGGAUCAUACCUUUUAUGACGUCUCCUCUCUCCAUAUCGAUGCCCCCUUUCUUUCCUCCUCCUCUCCCCUUCUUCUCUUGCUCUUUGAGAUUCCUCUUCUUCUCGAGCUCUCCUUAUUUUCUCUGCUUCCUCAAAGGCUUCUUUUUCAACCUCCCUAUUCUUGGCCCAGAUAUCUUCCACAACUUGUCUUGCAUAUUGUGGGUCAUCACAAAUCAAUAUGUUAUCAAAAAUUGAACCAGCCUCCCCCUGCCAUACUUCAAUACCCACGUAUUUUAAGGGCUUCAGCACAUAAAGGUCAGGAUCAUCUUCAAACUCUGGGUUGUCAAUCCAUGAAGUCUUCUUCCACUUCCCCUUAUAGUUGGGGUUCCUGAUUUUCUUUCUUUUCCAUGGUCCUUUGUAUGCUGGAUUUGGGAUCUUGGGUGGCUUCCAUAUCCCAUCCUCCUCUUCAUCCCAGUCAUCAGGCUCUUUAGCCUUGGGAUCAGGAAUCUCGGAUGGAAUAGAAUCAUAUCCCUCUGGUUUGAUAUCAUUAGGAUCAUCAAUAUAUUCUCUAUCAUCCCAGUCCGCUGGCUUCUUUGCAUUUGUGUCUUUGAUUUUUCUUGGAGGAAGGAUAUCCCAGUCUGUGUACAUACUUCCAGAUUCUCUUUCUCGAUUAUCAAUUAAGAUACUGUAAGAUGCAUCAGGCCUAAGAAUAAAUGUGUAGAAAUGAGUGAGCUUGUCAGUUUCACAUUGUAUAUCCCUUUUUAUGGGAUAAUUCUGCCCCUGGUAGGAGAGGAUAACAUGGAGCUUUUUUGUCUGUGAGCCACAUAUAUCAGGUCCAAACAUAAAACUGUAAGGAGUAUCACCGCCAAACUUUUUCUGAUUGACAUAACCAGAAAGAAGUUUAAUGUAACCACCACCACAUUCAAUGUUCUGCUCAAACUUAAUAGAGUAUUGGACGACUAGAGUCUUCUCUUUGUUGCUGAACUCCGGUAUCUUUGCGGAUAUGGCAAAAUGCUUGGCAUCAUUGUAUGUCUGGAGACCUUUAUCAUCAGGAUCUCCAGGCCAUUUCCCAGCUGUAUGCUUAAAUGUACCAGCUUUUCCUUCGCUUCUCUUCCAGUCCGAUAAAACCCAACGAUCCUUCCACCCAUCUUCGAAGCGCUCUUCAAAGAAGAUUUCAGAGAAGGCGAAAGGAAAGAGAAAGAGAAAAUAGAAAGUAGAGAAGAAAAAGAGAAGCUUUAGAGCUUGAAGUAUACGGAGCUGAGGCUUUUCCAUUUCCGGCGAGCCCCUCUGCCGAGUGCCUGAAUGUGAUUUAC